rnacentral:sRNA from 1 species
UCGACUGAAUGCCAAAUGGUCUCAAAUGAACCACAUUUGCGCACGUUCCAUUGACACUCGUCGCGGUGGCAUUAGAAGGCAGCACCACAAGCCACCAACAUCAGAGUCAGAGUUAGCUUCAGCUUCAGCGGCGCGGCUCGGCUCAGGUAACCAUUAGCUGGUUACUUGACUCGUGUUGAGGUUAUAAACGGUGGCUGUCACCCAAACGUAUCGAUUGGAGGCCGCACAUACACACACACACACACACACACACACUGGCGCCUCAUGGCACAUUUAAUGACACACAGGCGGCAAAAAGACCUGACCGCAGCGCAAUUUGAGGCGACGCGUGGACAUGACAGCUUAUCAGCUGCUAAAAAAUAAUAACAAAAAAUAAAA